rnacentral:rRNA from 1 species
GACGAACGCUGGCGGCGUGCUUAACACAUGCAAGUCGAACGGAAAGGCCCUGCUUUUGUGGGGUGCUCGAGUGGCGAACGGGUGAGUAACACGUGAGUAACCUGCCCUUGACUUUGGGAUAACUUCAGGAAACUGGGGCUAAUACCGGAUAGGAGCUCCUGCUGCAUGGUGGGGGUUGGAAAGUUUCGGCGGUUGGGGAUGGACUCGCGGCUUAUCAGCUUGUUGGUGGGGUAGUGGCUUACCAAGGCUUUGACGGGUAGCCGGCCUGAGAGGGUGACCGGCGACAUUGGGACUGAGAUACGGCCCAGACUCCUACGGGAGGCAGCAGUGGGGAAUAUUGCACAAUGGGCGGAAGCCUGAUGCAGCAACGCCGCGGGCGGGAUGACGGCCUUCGGGGUGUAAACCGCUUUCGCCUGUGACGAAGCGUGAGUGACGGUAAUGGGUAAAGAAGCACCGGCUAACUACGUG